rnacentral:rRNA from 1 species
UACGGAGGGUGCGAGCGUUGUCCGGAAUCAUUGGGCGUAAAGGGCUCGUAGGCGGCCAACUAAGUCAGACGUGAAAUCCCUCGGCUUAACCGGGGAACUGCGUCUGAUACUGGAUGGCUUGAGUGUGGGAGAGGGAUGCGGAAUUCCAGGUGUAGCGGUGAAAUGCGUAGAUAUCUGGAGGAACACCGGUGGCGAAGGCGGCAUCCUGGACCAUUACUGACGCUGAUGAGCGAAAGCCAGGGGAGCAAACGGG